rnacentral:tRNA from 1 species
GCUACUGUGGCUCAGAUGGUAGAGCAAUUGAUUCGUAAUCAAUAGGUCGGGGGUUCGAGUCCCCCCAGUAGCUCCA